AAGGAUCAUUAUUGAAUAAACCUGAUGGGCUGUCGCUGGCUCCUUACAGGAGCAUUGUGCACGCCUGUCAUCUUUAUCUAUCCACCUGUGCACCAUUUGUAGUCUUGGAGUAAUAAGCGUUGAAGGACCUCUCGAGAGGCUGAGUCUCUUGGAAAUGGGGGACUGCUGCAUGAGAAAUGUGGCUGACCCCCCAAUCCUCACGCGAGUUCUUCAGGUCUAUGUCCUUUCAUACAUACACCACAUAACAUGUUUCUGAAUGUAUCAUUUUGGGCCUCAGUGCCUAUAAAACAUAAUACAACUUUCAGCAACGGAUCUCUUGGCUCUCGCAUCGAUGAAGAACGCAGCGAAAUGCGAUAAGUAAUGUGAAUUGCAGAAUUCAGUGAAUCAUCGAAUCUUUGAACGCACCUUGCGCUCCUUGGUAUUCCGAGGAGCAUGCCUGUUUGAGUGUCAUUAAAUUCUCAACCCCUCCAGCCUUUUGUGGGUUGGUUUUGGUGGAUUGGAUGUUGGGGGUAUUCAUCUGCAGGCCUCUUUCUCAAGGUCAGCUCCCCUGAAAUGCAUUAGUGGAACCGUUUGCGGACCCGUUGUUGGUGUGAUAAUUAUCUACGCCAAAUUGCAUGAUGGAUCGCUCUCUUGGUGUUCUGCUUCUUAAUUGUCCAUUAAUGUGGACGAAUGAAACUCUGAAUUGUUUGACCUCAAAUCAGGUAGGACUACC
rnacentral:rRNA from 1 species